rnacentral:rRNA from 1 species
CCUACGGGGGGCAGCAGUGGGGAAUAUUGGACAAUGGGCGAAAGCCUGAUCCAGCCAUGCCGCGUGAGUGAUGAAGGCCUUAGGGUUGUAAAGCUCUUUCGCCGGGGAAGAUAAUGACGGUACCCGGAGAAGAAGCCUCGGCUAACUCCGUGCCAGCAGCCGCGGUAAGACGGAGGAGGCUAGCGUUGUUCGGAAUUACUGGGCGUAAAGCGUACGCAGGUGGCGAUCCAAGUCGGAUGUGAAAGCCCGGGGCUUAACCCCGGAUGUGCAUCCGAGACUGGUUUGCUAGAGUCCGGAAGAGGAGAGCGGAAUUCCCAGUGUAGAGGUGAAAUUCGUAGAUAUUGGGAAGAACACCAGUGGCGAAGGCGGCUCUCUGGUCCGGUACUGACACUCAAGUACGAAAGCGUGGGGAGCAAACAGGAUUAGAUACCCUUGUAGUC